rnacentral:rRNA from 1 species
GUAGUCCUGGCUGUAAACUCUGCCCGCUUGGUGUGGCUUGUACUUCGGGUGCAGGCUGUGCCGGAGCGAAGGUGUUAAGCGGGCUGCUUGGGGAGUACGGCCGCAAGGUUGAAACUUAAAGGAAUUGGCGGGGGAGCACCGCAACGGGAGGAUGCGUGCGGUUUAAUUGGAUUCAACGCCGGAAAACUCACCUGAGGCGACCAGCGUAUGUGGGUCAGGCCGAAGACCUUACUCGAACAAAAGCUGGAGAGGUGGUGCAUGGCCAUCGUCAGCUCGUACCGUAGGGCAUUCACUUAAGUGUGAUAACGAGCGAGACCCCCAUCCCUAGUUGCCAACUUUUCCGAAAGGAAGGGUGCACUCUAGGGAGACCGCUUCUGCUAAAGAAGAGGAAGGAGGGGUCGACGGUAGGUCAGUAUGCCCCGAAUCCUCAGGGCUACACGCGCGCUACAAAGGACAGGACAAAGGGCUCCAACCCCGAAAGGGGAAGGUAAUCCCAAAACCUGUUCGUAGUCCGGAUUGAGGGCUGUAACUCGCCCUCAUGAAGAUGGAUUCCGUAGUAAUCGCGGAUCAACAGUCCGCGGUGAAUAUGCCCCUGCUCCUUGCACACACCGCCCGUCAAACCAUCCGAGUUGGUUUUGGGUGAGGCCCUGUCGUUGUGGCAGGUUCGAACCCAAGGUCGGCGAGGGGGGUUAAGUCGUAACAAGGUAUCCGUAGGGGAACCUGCGGCUGGAUCACCUCC